UUCAGUGGACAGCACAAUGAAUGUUUGCA
rnacentral:piRNA from 1 species